UCGCCACCCUCUGCCCGCGGCGGGAGGCGGCGUGUGGGCCUCUUGCGGGCCCGGGCUUCUGCGCGGCGGCGGCGCGGACGCCGGGGUUCGACAUGGCCAGCUGGGUGUUCUGUAAUCGCUGCUUCCAGCCGCCGCACCGGACGUCGUGCUUCAGCCUGACCAACUGCGGCCACGUAUACUGCGACGUCUGCCUGGACAAAGGUAGAAAGGGCGAGUGCUUGAUUUGUAAAGUGCCUUGUCGCACACUUUUACUUUCAGAACACACGGACGCGGAUAUCCGGGCGCUGUUCAUGGGUAUAGACGACCUGUGUAGGAAGUACUCAAAGGAGACCUUCCAGGUUUCAGAAUUUCAAGAAAAGCACAGAAGGAGACUGUUGGCCUUCUAUAGAGAAAAGAUCUCAAAGCUGGAAGAGUCCCUUCGGAAGUCAGUGCUGCGGUUGGAACAGCUGCAGGGUGUGAGAUUGUCACAGCAGACAGCUUUCAGCACAAUAAAAACUCCAGUUUCGACUCCUUCGGCACGGCCAGGUGGACACCUCCGGCCCCCUGACUCGUCAGCCUCCAACAGGGUGGAGUCCAUGCAGGUCGACCUCACUCCUUCCCCAGCGAGAAAACCUGAGGUCACGGCUGGCCCGGCAAGAAUCUCUCUGAUCAGCCCGCCUCAUGAUGGACGCAUGGGUCUUGAGACAAAGGCACGCGUACACACCCUUUACUUGACCGCCUCCGGGGCUUCGUUACCGGCCUCUCUCCUUUCCCUUCGGCCUGAAGCGCGCUGUCGUCGAAGGGCAGGGCAGCCGGCGGUGGGUUCUCCCGGUCUCUGUCCACGUCUGAGUGGCUUCGCUUCGUGUGCAUCUCGGAGGCUCGCUUCCCUGGACGUGGCUCCGUGGGCCACCGCUUCCAGCCCGUGGAGGUUCCUGCUGCCGCCGGUGAGAAGUCGGCCCUGAGUCAUGCUGCCCUGGGCCGCCCUGGUUUCCUCCUCGAGCGGGGAGCCCUCCGGCCUUGUCGUCUUAAGACCGUCUCGUCUCUCGUGCGGGAGCCGGCUCGGCACCGCCCGCCCCUGGCUGUCCCCACCUCGCUGUGCCACCACCCGGUCCACGUGUGGCUGCCGGCUGCCCCGUGUGGCGGCCGUGCCGGGGUUCACGUCUGUGUCCGGCUGGUCCCGGCUUCUGCGCGGCCUGGGCCCCUUCCCCACGAGCGCGCUUGACGGAGCGGGGAGCUCCCCCCUGCCCCGGGCACAGCCGCCCUGCUCCCCGCCGCCCGGGACCCCUCCCCCUCAGCGACCGCCCGCCGGCACCUGCCUCGGUGGCACGUUGGUGCCUCGUUCAGGAAACAGCGCGGGCUCGUCCGUCUGCCGCCACAGGCCGGUGAGGUUUUCCGUGUUCUGGAUAAGGGAACUUGUCCUCUCUAAACGGCCAAUUUCUCGUUUGCCAACGGAAAUCUUUCUAACCUCAUUGAACGGCAUGGCUUUCUGGAACAGGAGCUACGGGCCUUGACUUGCUGCCCGUCCUGUCGGUCGGGGAGCCUCGGUCUGAGCGCCCGGUCCCAGCGGGGCUGAAGCAGGGGAUACGCCCCAGCGCCCGAGUGCUCGGUCGUGCCCUGCUCUGGAGUUCCCGCGUGGCCGGGGUUCCCGCUCAGACCCCGUGUGCCACGAGGUUCCCACCUGCCGCAUGCGGGGCGUCAACCCCAAACCCCUGUGAGUUCACCUCCGGGGGCCUCGGUUCCCUCAUCGCUGUGGAUAACCGUCAUCGCCACGAGUCCCGCAAAGAGUAACUAAGACUCCCUCUCCGUGGGCUGUAGCACGUUGAGCACGUAACCUGCCAUUACCGUUUGUGUUGCGCCGGGGUUAAAAUGUCCCGGGACUUGUCUGAUGAGAUGUGUGGCCAGCCCACCAGGAGACAAGGUUUUCCUCACAGCCCCGGCAGCCGGAGGCGGGCACGCCCCACAGGGGCCCUCGGGCAGAGGGAGCAGGGAGGCUGGUCUUCACCGGAAGGAGUGGUGGGCGGUGAGGACGGCUUGGGAUUGGCUACUUGGGAUCAUUUCAGCAGUUUUGGGGGUGGGGGUAGGGCAGAGCGGCGAGGUGAUGGGGAGCACCUCUAGGCACUCAGAUUUCAUGUCACAGGCCAGCUCACCGACGAGUCGUUACUCUUUGGGAGUCAGCUAGCCCUGGGAGGGGUGGUCUUCCCGGAAUAAGCAAGGCCCCGUGGUGUCAAACCAUCAUAAAACACAGGAGAUAAGUAACGAGUCAUUUUGCGUCUCUGGUCUCAGCCAUUGUGCUGCGGCACGGCCGGUAGGCAGAGACACGAGGUCCCUGUUGGCCACCGGGUGCCGUGCGGCCCUGGGAAAGGCGCUGCCCCUCUCUGAUCCGGGUUCUUCAAUGUGAAAGGAAACACGGGGAGCCUCAAUGCUGUCUUCCCCGUUCUCCCUGCCAUUCUUCUGUUCAAAUUCUCCAAGAUUUGGAUGCAAAGGAAUUCGGGUGUUAAACGCUAGUAGUCUUCAGAUUUGCUCUCUGCUGUGACUAAUGCGUGCCAGGGGCUGUUUGCGUCUUUCAAAGAAGCUUCUUAUUAGCACGGAGGAUGUCAGCAGAAAUUCGGGAGCUUGGCGGUGUGGGCGGAGACCAGAGCCGGUCCUGGGGCUAAGGGACUCAGAGCCAGAAGCUGGUGAAAGUGCCUUUCCCUGCCAGUGAUUCUGAGUGACAGGAGCAGGGACAGAGUAAGACAGAGAGCAGGUCUCCGCACACGUCUUGAGCCGUCUGCAUCCCGGGUGCCCUCCCCAGCCCAGCCUGCGGCCCAGAGCUCGGUGUCGGGCAGAGGCUCUGCGGGGCUGGCGGUCCGGUCCGGGUGUGCCCUGGGCAGCUGCCGGGCACGGGGGCCACAGCACUGGAUCCCAGGAGUUCCGUUCCAGUCCUGUGGGCAGCGUCGCCCGCCGCGGCCCUCAGCCCCUCGGCCCGACGCCAAGUCACAGGGAGCUGCCCCAGGCCCUCAGGGUCCCACCGCUGCCUGUCCCCGGCAAGGGGCUGUCCCAGGUGCCCGCGCCCCAGG